CAAAUUAGAAAAAUAAAUUAAUUACAAUUUAUGAUCACAUAACAUACCAACAUCAAUAAAAAAAAGUGUUUGUUUGUCAGAUAUCUGUUAAUGCAUUUAGUUACAUUUUUGAGUGCAAUGUACAUACAGUAUUUUGUUGGUUUUUGUGGUUUACUCAUUUGAUGAGUGGCUGUUAUAUGAAUCCAUUGUGAAAAUGGUUGAGUGUCAGAAAUUAAAG